CCACAGUGAUAAUGUUACGUGGUUAAAGUGGCCUCUUUUAUAAGCUUCGCUGAAGAUGAGUCUCGUCAGAUUGCUAGUUGGGAGGUAAUGCUCACCAAGCUUUGAUCUUAGCUGGUCGAGAGGAUGUCAGCCACAUGGAACUGAACACGGUCCGACUCCUACGGAGGCAGCGUAGGGAAUUUGCACAAUGGGGAAACCUGAUGCAGCACGCCGCGUAGUGAUGAAGCCUUCGGGUGUAAAGCUUGUCGUCAGGGCGAAGGUCUGUGGCUACAUCCACAGAAUUGACAGACCUGACAAAAAGGAACGCUAACUUCGGCCAGCAGCGCGGUAAUAGAAGGUUCCAGCGUUGUUGGAAUCAUUGGCGUAAAGGCAUGUAGGGGCUCUUUCAGUCAGAUGGAAAUCCCCAGCUUAACUUGGGAACUGCAUUUUGAUACUGAUGAGCUUUGAGUAUGA
rnacentral:rRNA from 1 species